GGAUUAGAUACCCUGGUAGUCCACGCCGUAAACGAUGUCUACUAGCCGUUGGAAUCCUUGAGAUUUUAGUGGCGCAGCUAACGCACUAAGUAGACCGCCUGGGGAGUACGGUCGCAAGAUUAAAACUCAAAUGAAUUGACGGGGGCCCGCACAAGCGGUGGAGCAUGUGGUUUAAUUCGAAGCAACGCGAAGAACCUUACCUGGCCUUGACAUGCAGAGAACUUUCCAGAGAUGGAUUGGUGCCUUCGGGAACUCUGACACAGGUGCUGCAUGGCUGUCGUCAGCUCGUGCCG
rnacentral:rRNA from 1 species